CACACAUUCAUGCAAAUCAUUUCGACAUGCUAUUGAUAAUCUUAAAGUAUCACAAUGAUAUCGACGUUCAUAAGCCCAAUGGUAACAUAUGUUUCAGUAAAAUCAAAUUUAUGAACAAGAUUGAGUAUAGACAAACCAAAGAAUAUUUCCCAGUAAACAUAUGUGUUUACACACUGAUCUGGUAAGCAAUACUGAAUCAAUCAAGCAGCAGGAACUUUGCCCUGUUCAACUUUCCCCCCUUAGCUCGGAAAAUACAUCAGAAUCCUUUCCAAGCAGCAAGAAUUUCGUGGAAGAUUUCACCAAUGAUUUCUCUGUCUGCAUAUUGCAGAAAUGCAGUGAAAUCAUCUCUUAUAUCGAAUAUUUUACCAAACCUCACGAGAUAUCUCAUACAACAGGCCUUCAGGUUCGGUAGUUGAUAAAGAGAAGCAGUUUGGAGCCUCUCAAGAACAUUCUUGGCGUCAAUGUCUUCCAGUAGACUUUCAUGACAUGCCUCCUUUAAAUCUGAG
rnacentral:misc_RNA from 1 species